rnacentral:lncRNA from 1 species
ACCUCAAAGAUCCAGGUUAGAAAUGAAUCUACCCACUUCAGAUUAAGCAAAGGGCCUUUACAGGUGUGCCCUCCAUUUUUGGAUUUUAGCUAGUUCCAUAUAUAGUCAAGUUGGCAACCGAGACUAGCCAUCACAGGCAGUAACCAAAGAGAAAAAUGAAUGGUGACAUUCAUAGUGCUGAAGACCAUAUGUUACCUGGGAGUAAAUAUGGCAAAAGCUACAUGAAGUUCAGUGCUGAAAGUGUAAAACAGUACUAGAACAUCUUUAAGCCCUAAAUAAAUAGGAAGAAUGUCCACUUGUUCAUAUGUGUCUAGGCAUGAGAAGGUUUAAAAUCAUAAGGUUAGCUUUGUUUUUUGUUUUUUUGUUUUUGUUUUUUUUUGUUUUUAGUUAAUUGAGAGAUAUAAUGCAACUGAAAUCCAAAUUCCAAGGUGAUUUCAGAAGAAAUUAGGACAUACAAACCUACUUGAAAUUCAUAUUGAGGGGCUAGAGAGAGGGCUCAGCAGUGAGAAGCACUUUGCCUGCUGCCUUUGCAGAGAGAGGCCCCAGGUUUGCUUCCAGCACCUACAUCAUCAGCUCACAGCUGCCAGUAAUUCCAGCUCAGGUCGGUCCAGUGUCCAGUUCUGGCCUCUGUGGGUAGUGGUACUCAUGUGCACAUAACCCUAGCAUACACUU